rfam:Sphingobacterium sp. ML3W, complete genome.
AGGGAGUAUGUCGAAAAUCCAGAACAGAGUAGGCA